rnacentral:rRNA from 1 species
AUGAACGCUGGCGGCGUGCCUAAUACAUGCAAGUCGAGCGAACAGACGAGGAGCUUGCUCCUCUGACGUUAGCGGCGGACGGGUGAGUAACACGUGGAUAACCUACCUAUAAGACUGGGAUAACUUCGGGAAACCGGAGCUAAUACCGGAUAAUAUAUUGAACCGCAUGGUUCAAUAGUGAAAGACGGUUUUGCUGUCACUUAUAGAUGGAUCCGCGCCGCAUUAGCUAGUUGGUAAGGUAACGGCUUACCAAGGCAACGAUGCGUAGCCGACCUGAGAGGGUGAUCGGCCACACUGGAACUGAGACACGGUCCAGACUCCUACGGGAGGCAGCAGUAGGGAAUCUUCCGCAAUGGGCGAAAGCCUGACGGAGCAACGCCGCGUGAGUGAUGAAGGUCUUCGGAUCGUAAAACUCUGUUAUUAGGGAAGAACAAAUGUGUAAGUAACUAUGCACGUCUUGACGGUACCUAUCAGAAAGCCACGGCUAACUACGU